rnacentral:rRNA from 1 species
UACGAAGGGGGCUAGCGUUGUUCGGAAUCACUGGGCGUAAAGAGUACGUAGGCGGAUUGUUAAGUCAGGGGUGAAAUCCCGAGGCUCAACCUCGGAACUGCCUUUGAUACUGGCAAUCUUGAGUCCGGGAGAGGUGAGUGGAACUCCUAGUGUAGAGGUGAAAUUCGUAGAUAUUAGGAAGAACACCAGUGGCGAAGGCGGCUUUCUGGUCCUUAACUGACGCUGAGGCGCGAAAGCAUGGGGAGCGAACGGG